rnacentral:misc_RNA from 1 species
UAUGUUGAAAUAUAUUUGGAACUUGUAUGCUGUGUGUUCAAGCGGAUUUUACAUGCUUUAGGUUUGGGUAAUGUUUGUCCUUCCCGGUUCACUUUCUCUUAGAAUAACAGUGUUUCAAUUUGAUGGUUUUGCUUUCUUUAUUUUUUGCAAGAGGAAACUUGUCUCGUGGUUGUAUGUUGGCCUUCAGCAAUCUAAAGACCAAGAGUCACGGCACUGCCGAGUUGUGUGCCAUGUGUUUAAUGUUCCAUUAGUUCAGUUUAGGGAUUAAAUUAUGUUACAUCUAUAAAGUUCUUGUGUCCGUGAAGGUUUUCCAUGCGUGUGAUUUUGUAUAUUUGUUUGCGUUUUUUUACUUUCUGGUCAUAAUCAUUUUCCUGCAAGCAUCUAUGGUAUCUCCAACUAGAGUAAUGUUUUAAUUAUAUAUUUUGAUUUCUUAACUGGAGUAAAUCUUGACCAAUUUUUCACCCCUCUUUGUUGGAUGUUG